GGGGCCCGCACAAGCGGUGGAGCAUGUGGUUUAAGUCGAAGCAACGCGCAGAACCUUACCAUCCCUUGACAUGGCAUGCGAACCGGAGAGAUCCGGUGUUCCCUUCGGGGACGUGCACACAGGUGCUGCAUGGCUGUCGUCAGCUCGUGUCGUGAGAUGUUGGGUUAAGUCCCGCAACGAGCGCAACCCACGUCCUCAGUUGCCAUCAUUCAGUUGGGCACUCUGGGGAGACUGCCGGUGAUAAGCCGCGAGGAAGGUGUGGAUGACGUCAAGUCCUCAUGGCCCUUACGGGAUGGGCUACACACGUGCUACAAUGGCGGUGACAAUGGGCAGCGAAGGGGCGACCUGGAGCGAAUCCCCAAAAGCCGUCUCAGUUCGGAUUGCACUCUGCAACUCGGGUGCAUGAAGGCGGAAUCGCUAGUAAUCGUGGAUCAGCAUGCCACGGUGAAUACGUUCCCGGGCCUUGUACACACCGCCCGUCACACCAUGGGAGUUGGUCUUACCCGACGGCGCUGCGCCAACCGCAAGGAGGCAGGCGACCACGGUAGGGUCAGCGACUGGGGUGAAGUCGUAACAAGGUAGCCGUAGGGGAACCUGCGGCUGGAUCACCUCCUUU
rnacentral:ncRNA from 1 species